CCUACGGGUGGCAGCAGUGAGGAAUAUUGGUCAAUGGACGAGAGUCUGAACCAGCCAAGUAGCGUGAAGGAUGACUGCCCUAUGGGUUGUAAACUUCUUUUAUAUGGGAAUAAAACAGGGUAUGCAUACCCUCUUGUAUGUACCAUAUGAAUAAGGAUCGGCUAACUCAGUGCCAGCAGCCGCGGUAAUGCGGAGGAUCCGAGCGUUAUCCGGAUGUAUUGGGUGUAAAGGGAGCGUAGGGGGAUGGUUAAGUCAGUUGUGAAAGUUUGCGGCUCAACCGUAGAAUUGCAGUUGAAACUGGCAGUCUUGAGUACAGUAGAGGUAGGCGGAAUUCGUGGUGUAGCGGUGAAAUGCUUAGAUAUAACGAAGAACUCCGAUGGCGAAGGCAGCUCACUGGACUGCAACUGACACUGAUGCUCGAAAGUGUGGGGAGCAAACAGGAUUAGAUACCCUUGUAGUC
rnacentral:rRNA from 1 species